GUAGGUGAACCUGCGGAAGGAUCAUUACCGAGAGACGGGGUCGCUGCGGCCCCACUCUUCACCCGUGUAUACAUACCUUUGUUGCUUUGGCGUGCCUUCGGGCCUGACCGUCUGGCGCUGGUAGGGGGCCCCCGCCCCCCACCCGGCGAGCGCCCGUCAAAGACCCCCAAAAUCCUGUCUUUCUGUCGUCUGAGCAAGGAUAUAAUAGUUAAAACUUUCAACAACGGAUCUCUUGGUUCUG
rnacentral:misc_RNA from 1 species